AAGCCAUCCACUCUGAAAAUAAAACACGAUAAUCUUUGUCUCCACUCUCCAGCAAACCUUCAAGCGGGCAGGCAGUUCUGCAAAAUUAAGGGACUGGGAAAGUGACAAAAGACUGAAGAGGAACAAAAUUCUUUGUUUAUGGUGCAAAAGAGAAACUUCGGUUACUUGUAAAGAAGCUUACCACAUCCGGCCAGAUGUUGAUUACACAAGCUCCUAUACUGUUCAAGUAGCAUUCAGCUGGGCCAUUCUGCAGCACAUAUGCACAUGGAAAUACCAUGUCAACAAACCAUAAAAAGAAAAAGGGCCCAGAGAAUAAAGUACGAGGAAGGUGGGAAAUAUGAACCUGGCAAAUGAUGGUGUUGUUGGGUUCUUGGAUGUAGGCAUUUCCAUAUGGUACCAGCCGGAGGUUGAUAAUGUCCAUGAGAUCCAGCUCAAAUGCCUUUGGGAGUUCAUAUACGAAGAAUUCCUCACAGUAGGAGCUGAGGGUGUCGUAAUAUAUAGUCAGGUUAAGUUUCUGAGGAAAGCAAUUGUAGUCCUCAGGAGACGGAGCAUUGGUGCAGAGUGAGAUCAGAGCAGUUAGAACAGUGAUGGAGAAGAACUUACGAAAAGCCAUUAGUUGCUUAUCACAGCUUGCUUUUCACCAGUUUUCACAGUAGUACUAAAGUGUACGCUUAUAUAGCACUUGGCCAGAUAAGAGUUGAGCUGGGUAACAUACAAAGCACUAGAGUACAAACAGUACAAACAAAGGUGCUGCAUAUGAAGGUAAAAACGUGGUGGUAGCAUCAAUCACAGGCUGCUCUUGUUGGAGUAGGAACAGUAUCUAAUCGGUCUCACUUGAUCAAUUUCCUCCCAAUUACAAAACUCACCUUUAAGUGCAAAUGUGAGUCCAACCGCUGGGUGAGUUUCCUGUCUCAUCCUUUUGCUGCUCGCUUUGAGGUGCGGUAUGUAGAGAUCACUAGUGCAUGGGAUCUAUAGUGGUCAGAUUCGGAGGUUGAGAAUUUGGAGAAUAGAAGUCGAUCUAUUCUUGGGA